rnacentral:rRNA from 1 species
CCUACGGGAGGCAGCAGUGGGGAAUAUUGCACAAUGGGGGAAACCCUGAUGCAGCGACGCCGCGUGAAGGAAGAAGUAUUUCGGUAUGUAAACUUCUAUCAGCAGGGAAGAAAAUGACGGUACCUGACUAAGAAGCCCCGGCUAACUACGUGCCAGAAGCGGCGGUAAUACGGAGGAAGCAAGCGUUAUCCGGAUUUACUGGGUGUAAAGGGGGCGUAGGCGGUUUAGCAAGUCAGAAGUGAAAGCCUGGGGCUCAACCCCGGGACUGCUUUUGAAACUGUUGAACUAGAUUGCAGGAGAGGUAAGUGGAAUGCCUAGUGUAGCGGUGAAAUGCGUAGAUAUUAGGAGGAACACCAGUGGCGAAGGCAGCUUACUGGACUGUAAAUGACGCUGAGGCUCGAAAGCGUGGGGAGCAAACAGGAUUAGAUACCCGGGUAGUC